CGCUUAGGCGUGUGACUGCGUACCUUUUGUAUAAUGGGUCAGCGACUUAUAUUCUGUAGCAAGGUUAACCGAAUAGGGGAGCCGAAGGGAAACCGAGUCUUAACUGGGCGUUAAGUUGCAGGGUAUAGACCCGAAACCCGGUGAUCUAGCCAUGGGCAGGUUGAAGGUUGGGUAACACUAACUGGAGGACCGAACCGACUAAUGUUGAAAAAUUAGCGGAUGACUUGUGGCUGGGGGUGAAAGGCCAAUCAAACCGGGAGAUAGCUGGUUCUCCCCGAAAGCUAUUUAGGUAGCGCCUCGUGAAUUCAUCUCCGGGGGUAGAGCACUGUUUCGGCAAGGGGGUCAUCCCGACUUACCAACCCGAUGCAAACUGCGAAUACCGGAGAAUGUUAUCACGGGAGACACACGGCGGGUGCUAACGUCCGUCGUGAAGAGGGAAACAACCCAGACCGCCAGCUAAGGUCCCAAAGUCAUGGUUAAGUGGGAAACGAUGUGGGAAGGCCCAGACAGCCAGGAUGUUGGCUUAGAAGCAGCCAUCAUUUAAAGAAAGCGUAAUAGCUCACUGGUCGAGUCGGCCUGCGCGGAAGAUGUAACGGGGCUAAACCAUGCACCGAAGCUGCGGCAGCGACGCUUAUGCGUUGUUGGGUAGGGGAGCGUUCUGUAAGCCUGUGAAGGUGUGCUGUGAGGCAUGCUGGAGGUAUCAGAAGUGCGAAUGCUGACAUAAGUAACGAUAAAGCGGGUGAAAAGCCCGCUCGCCGGAAGACCAAGGGUUCCUGUCCAACGUUAAUCGGGGCAGGGUGAGUCGACCCCUAAGGCGAGGCCGAAAGGCGUAGUCGAUGGGAAACAGGUUAAUAUUCCUGUACUUGGUGUUACUGCGAAGGGGGGACGGAGAAGGCUAUGUUGGCCGGGCGACGGUUGUCCCGGUUUAAGCGUGUAGGCUGGUUUUCCAGGCAAAUCCGGAAAAUCAAGGCUGAGGCGUGAUGACGAGGCACUACGGUGCUGAAGCAACAAAUGCCCUGCUUCCAGGAAAAGCCUCUAAGCAUCAGGUAACAUCAAAUCGUACCCCAAACCGACACAGGUGGUCAGGUAGAGAAUACCAAGGCGCUUGAGAGAACUCGGGUGAAGGAACUAGGCAAAAUGGUGCCGUAACUUCGGGAGAAGGCACGCUGAUAUGUAGGUGAAGUCCCUUGCGGAUGGAGCUGAAAUCAGUCGAAGAUACCAGCUGGCUGCAACUGUUUAUUAAAAACACAGCACUGUGCAAACACGAAAGUGGACGUAUACGGUGUGACGCCUGCCCGGUGCCGGAAGGUUAAUUGAUGGGGUCAGCGCAAGCGAAGCUCUUGAUCGAAGCCCCGGUAAACGGCGGCCGUAACUAUAACGGUCCUAAGGUAGCGAAAUUCCUUGUCGGGUAAGUUCCGACCUGCACGAAUGGCGUAAUGAUGGCCAGGCUGUCUCCACCCGAGACUCAGUGAAAUUGAACUCGCUGUGAAGAUGCAGUGUACCCGCGGCAAGACGGAAAGACCCCGUGAACCUUUACUAUAGCUUGACACUGAACAUUGAGCCUUGAUGUGUAGGAUAGGUGGGAGGCUUUGAAGUGUGGACGCCAGUCUGCAUGGAGCCGACCUUGAAAUACCACCCUU
rnacentral:rRNA from 1 species